rnacentral:rRNA from 1 species
UACGGGGGGGGGGCAAGCGUUGUUCGGAAUUACUGGGCGUAAAGGGCCGCGUGAGGCGGGAUGGCAAAGUCCGGUCGUGAAAUCCCCCGGGACUCAACUGGGGAACGAUGCGCGGGAAACGUGAUGGGGCUAGGAAGGUUCGAAGGAGGAGGGGAAGCGGAAUUCCGGGGUGAUAGGCGGUGAAAAUCGGCAGUCGAUGGAUAAGUCCCGGGCUAGGGCAA